rnacentral:rRNA from 1 species
UACGAAGGGGGCUAGCGUUGUUCGGAAUUACUGGGCGUAAAGCGCACGUAGGCGGACUAUUAAGUCAGGGGUGAAAUCCCGGGGCUCAACCCCGGAACUGCCUUCGAUACUGUUUGGCUUGAGACCGGAAGAGGUAAGUGGAACUGCGAGUGUAGAGGUAAAAUUCGUAGAUAUUCGCAAGAACACCAGUGGCGAAGGCGGCUUACUGGUCCGGUUCUGACGCUGAGGCGCGAAAGCGUGGGGAGCAAACAGG